ACUGCGUCUGGGCGCCUCCAGGGCUUUCCUGCCUAGCUAGCGUCCUCCCUGUGACACCAGAUCCCCGCGGACCUACAAACCCGAGCACCCAAUGGGAUAUUCUGGGUUCGGUCGGAGUCCCCGGUGGCCCUCGCCCGCAGCUCUGGCGUCGGUCCAUUCCGGGGACCUCGCUGCAGCCGCCCGGGAGUCCCGGCUCGUGAUCUUCCCGCUACCCACGCGGGUCCCCAGCGCGGUGGCGGCGCUUUGGGGUCUGGAUGAACAGGGGAGAAGCGGGUGGGGGCGCCGGAUCCCCUAACGUGGAUUACUUGGUGCUUAUCAAUUGGAUUUAGAAGACCCGCGCGAGACCUCGUCCCCAUCAUCCACGGGUUAUCGUUCCACCUCCCAGCUGCUUUCCCACCUGGAGGUAGGACCAGAGGUUUCUGUCAACGGUGGAGCAAGGACAAGAGAAAGGCUUAGAAGGAGGCUGACCAAGGCUGUUCCUGCUCACCUGUGCUGCUCACCAGAAGCUCUGUGGAACCGUGGAAAAUAUGUUCCUGGCCCUCCUUUCAGGACUUGUCCAAGAUCAGGCUAUCUCUUAAGAGGCAAGAUCCCUGGAUUUCAACUGAAGAAUAUUAUUUUGAAAGCUAUAGAAACUUCCAGACUGUGAAGCUGUUUGGGAACACUCUGCAUUGACUUGAAUAAAGAAAGACAUACAUCGUGGACAUGACCAACAGCUGGGGAAGGCUCAUCAUCCCAACUCAUCUACUGUCUUGUAGAAGACAAGUCUCCUGGUAUCACUACCCAGGACAUUCUUCUCUACCCUGUUGCUGUCCCAGGCACCACACCCUUUCCUGCCUGACCCCACCUUGCCUUUGGACCCAGAGAUUCUUCUUAUUUGCUCUGAUAUCUUCGAGCCGGAGGCAGAGUGAAUAGUUAACUACACUUGAGUUGAAUGGGAUCUUGAUUUUUGUUUCUGUUCCUUAUAAAGAGGUCAUUCCCUGUGCACGGCGCACAGCCUGGAGAUGGUAGGUGACUCCUGAGUGACACGGGAAUUGGUGUGGAGGCUCUGUGGCCUCUUGGUAGUCAAGGCAAGUGGAGACGGCUGAGCAGGGGAGUAGAGCAGGGCUGGUCCUGACUUUGGGCUUGCGUUGCUUGGCUCCCAUGCAGGUGUGCAUUUGGACACAUAGAGAUGAAGCCAUCAUCCAUCCAUCUUCGGUGACACAAAUGGGAUGUGCUAUAAAGACCUUCAAAGGUGACAGGGAUCAACUCAUUCAGGUGAUUUGAGACUGAGGCAUUGCCUACUGAGGACCUCGCCCCCCAGUUUAUGCUGGUCGCCCACGCAGCUGUCAGAAGCUGGGAACUUCUCUAUCCCUUUCCUCUUUGGCCUCUACUUGGGCAGUUGAGAAUCCUUUCUAAUGAUUUGUGGUUCCACCUUCUUGACUGCACACUUGAAGAUGUUUGAGGAUUUGUAUUUGUAGUUUGUUUAUAUAAAACAUCCAAACUUCCUUGUGUUGUAAUUGAUACAUUUCCAUGGCUGUUCAGUGACUUUACAGUGGGAUAUUGACUUUGGCCUCUCAGAUUCGCCAUGGUGGAAUUGAACAAACCUCCUAAAGAUGUUUGAUGCUGUUGAAGUCCAAAGAAGGCUUACAGACCUCUCCUUCCCCCCUCCCUCCUCUACUUUCUUCUUUUCUAAGUACAUACUGACAGCAUCUCAAUUGCAUGAAUUUCUUCAGGUAUUGAGGAAUGGUGACCCACUCCUAACAUCUCUGUAAAUGAGGCCAUAGAAAUGGUUGGUGGGGCUGCCCAGGUGGCCUGUCCCAUAAUCCCAUAGUUAGACCAUGUACUCAAGAAUUACAGGGAUGAGGGGCUGGAGAGAUGGCUCAGUGGUUAAGAGCAUUGCCUGCUCUUCCAAAGGUCCUGAGUUCAAUUCCCAGCAACCACAUGGUGGCUCACAACCAUCUGUAAAGAGGUCUGGUGCCCUCUUCUGGCCUUCAGGCAUACAGACAGAAUAUUGUAUACAUAAUAAAUAAAUAAAUAAAUAUCAAAAAAAAAAAAAAAGAAUUACAGGGAUGGAAAGGACAGGGACAUCCAGACCAUCAAGUUCCUCACUUUGCAGUAGGAAAUAGUGUUCCCAAAUCCCACAUUCCACUCUGUGUGGAGCCGGGGAGAGCCAGUCAUCCCAGCCUGCCAAGGACAAGGGAAUUUUGGGGGCAAAUGAUUUGGGGGAGCUAAAUCUGCAUCUCACUUGAAAAAAGUGUCACAGUUGGUCAUCCUACAGAGUGAAGCAGUGACCAUAUCUCUUCUGCUGCUGCAGCAAGGCAAAGCUUCUAGGUUGCUGGGCCAGCCCCCAUUCAGAGCUGUUUGUCUGCUCUCAUUGGCCAAAGGGCAGCCUAUAGACAGACCAGAUCAGGUGCCCCAUCCUGACCAAAUCUGUUUGCAAGAUGGUAGGUUUGUCUUGUACUGAAGGAAAUCGUAAGUGUGACGGGCCAGUUGAGACCAGGUCCUUCCAAGGAGUGUUGUGUACAGUAGGCAUGGCAGAAAUUCAAAGUGUCAGGAAUUGUUUUAGGACAGUCCUAUAUAAGUGACCCUUGCCUCUUAUUAAAAAUGAAACUGCCCUUGAAGAAGCAAACCCACAGUCGCCGGGAUAGUACAGGAUGCCCCGCGCCAUGCCCGUGUUUGCACAUGUGUGCGUGUGCGCCACACCUGUGCAAACAUGUGCGCUAUAGAAUAAACGAAGAUCAAAAAUUUCCAUCUGUGCUAGACAGAGACAAAGGGCUGAAGUCUUCGGGACGAUGUCUGGAAAGCAAGGGACUUGGCUAGGAGACUUCCUGAAGGUCCUUUGAACUGUAGCUUUUAUUUAGAAUAUCAAGGGCAUUUCGACUGGGUCUAAGUGUGUACUUUCUCUCUAAAGUCCUCCCCGAUAAUCCUGAUAACCUGGGUUCAACUCAGAAAGCAUGGAGUGGGCCCUCCCAGCUCACUCUUACCUUCUCAGUCACUGCCUAGCUUCAGGGAGCCGCUGGAACUUUAAGGAGGUGGGGAAGGGUGGAUUCAUACCAAUCCAAUUUGGGGUGUUCAUGACAAGUAAGAACAAUUGAAAGGUAAAUUACAGGUUCUUUUGCAGCUUAGAAAAGCCAGGUUUUCAGGAUUGCCUGGCUCCUGAAGUUGUUGCUACCUGUCAAGGGCUUCAGCCCCCAUCUUUCUGCCGAAAGCUAAGCAGGAGGGUCCAUGGUGCUGGAGCAUGGGCCUCCCACUAAUCCUUUUAUCUCAAGUUGUGAGGCCACAGGGGGGUAAUUACAUACGAGGGUGGUGAUGAGCAUCCAGGCAUCCAGGGGUUUUGGCAUCAUUCUUGAGAAUCCCCAUGCACUGGGAAGAAUCCUAGCCCGUAUCCUUUUCUUUGGGUACCAUUUUUGAAAAGAUGACUAUGGGAUUGGGAGGAUGGAUCCAUCCAGAAAGUACUUGAGGACCAGUGAUGGUAUGCAUUUAUUAACUCAGUGCCUGGGAGUCAGAUUCCCGGGGUUCACUGUGCAGCCCAACUCACAUAGGAAUCUCCUUUCAGAUUCUGACCAGAUAUCAUCCAGACUUGGGGGGGGGGCAGACUUUGCUUGAGAGGGAGUUGCGAGGGAAGGCUGAGGCUAUCAUGGGGCGAUGAUUGUCAGUUCCUCGAUGAGAUUUUGAGCUGAUGUAUUUUGCCUUCUCCCCUAAUCAGUUUCUUAUGUUUCAAUCCUAAUGGUAUGUAUAUGCUGGUUUAAAAUAAAAAUUCCAGGGCGGGGAAACAGGAGACCUGAGAUAGUGAUAUCAGAAAGUCCCCCUUUUUUUAGCUCCUUGUAUUUGACAUGCAGGGUUGGGCACAGGUGCCUAAGACCAUCUCCCAAUGACAUACACAUUACUGUCAGUUUUCUAGGAGUUGCUGUCUUAAAGAUCAGCUGUCUUUUCCGUAGUGGAAGCGUCCAAGAGAUGAUGUCCAUGGGACGAUGGAAAUCGCCCCAUCUUUGAGCUAACCACUCUCAACCUGAUCUUCUCUCAGUUAUGGUGAUCAUGAGUACAUUUCAAAUUCACUCCGCUCCACACCCCUGGGAUCUUAUGGGACAUUUGAACUUGACUCCAGACCACAGGAGCACUCUGGUCUACAAAUAUACCUGGGGAACCAUUCUAUGGAGAUAGCAGUGUGAAAUUACUAGAGACAGGAAGACAUUCUUAUGGGGAUGCAGAGCCUCCUGCUCAGGAGACUGCAGUUUAAAGGACAAAGAGUGACGUUGGAAAUGACCACUGAUACUGGAUGAGACCCUCAAAGAGUAGACUUGUGGAAAGCAGCGGAGGGAAGCCGAAAGAGAUGCUGAGCUUUCGGUAAGUUGAGGAACAGUCUGGAUACCUGGGCUCCAGUCCUUGGCUUUCACUAGCUCAAGGUCAUGUGUCAAUCAUUCAAUCCUGCCUCUGUGGCUCAGUUUUGUGGUACAUGCAAUGGAGCAGGAAAGUAAAGAAGUCGAGUGUACGUCAGGGUUGUCGCCCUGCCUAUCCUGGCUGCUGUCUAUUUCCUGAUAGGUAGCUCAUUGUCCCUUCAGCUAUACAAGUUGGAAUUAGGGCUGUUCCAUCCUAGGGAAGUUCAUUACCAAAGCAUACUUCAAAGAUGUUUGCACAUGUUGUCAGUCACACUGAGCAUGAGUUUGUUGAAGGAAAAGGCAAAUAGACACACAGCCGGUGAUGGGAGGUGCGACGGGGGCUGCUUAGCUCUAAGUGGCUGCAAGGCAAGGCAAGGGGGAAAAAAGAACCAAAAAUUCUGCCUGCCAUUUUGGCCAACAAAUAAAAACGGGGAACACUGAAUGGUAAAACCAUAGGGGAUUUAUUAGUCUGCAUAGUAAAGGACAGACACUAAGUCUGAAGUUGGCCCGUCCCGGGACUUGCCUCUUGGCUUUUUUGUCCUUCUAGGCACUGAUGUCGGCAGACUCCAAGUUAUUAAGUUCUAUUCAGUUUCUUUCUUAAAAUUGUUUUCUGUCUCCGUCUUCCCUCCCUCCAUUACCCAUCCUUUCCACCUCCCACCCAUCCUAGAAACUCAAGGAUGGAUUUUGGAGGAAGUGGAAGACUCUGCCUGGUCAUAAAAAUCCUCUGUACCAAGGGCUCUGACUGGCCUGGGUUGAGCUGUCUGCAAUUGUGGUGGCCUUGGGAAGUGAAAUUUCUAGGUCACCUUACAGAUCCUCCACCUCUGACCUGGACUACAGAGUGCGAAGAAGCAAAGGAUUCAUCCCUCAUUAAACUUAGAAUGAGCACUGUGGCGAGUGUUAGGAAGAUGGAACCGCAACUGUUUCCAAAUCAUAACCUUGAUGUCCUAGGAGACCAUACAUGCCUAUGCAUGACAGUAGCUUCAACAGACAUAUUGAGAUAGAGGUCCUAUUUAAGGAGGGGUCCCACAGGACCUAUGACUAUUAGAGCAGGCGAGGAGUGGUUGUCUACCUAGCUUCCAAGAACCAGGUAGAAUGUGAGCAUCCCCAAUGGCAAGCUACCGUAGGGCCCCCUGCUCCACAUCAGACCCUCAGUGCUCUUAUCCAGACCUGCCCCAGGAGACGGCCCAGGAAGUCUUCCUUCUUGGCCCCAGGCAUUACAGACAGCUCUCCACCUCUGCUGCCCACAAUUGGGAAUGUUCUGGAAAUGCUUCAUGACGAAAGUCCCUCUCGGAUUCCAGUAAUGAGCUUUUAUUGAAUGGGGUGUGUUAGCUUUCCAUAGCUUUAGCAAAUACCAGAGAUAAUCGGCGUUUAAAGAAAAUAGGUUUAUUUUGGCUCGUUGUUUUGAAGGUUCCGGUCGGAGCCGUUGCUUGGGGACAGACCUGAGCAGGAGCCUACGGCAGGGCAGAGCCACUCAUUUCGUGGCUGGAUAGAGAAAGAGGGUCCUGAGUCCCACAGUCUCCUCAAGGGCAUUUCCGCAAUGGCGUGAAGACAUCCCAGGAGACCCAGACUUUAAUACAUAGCCUGUGGUGAUGGUAGUGGUGGUGGUGUGUUCCAGGUUCACACUGCAAUCUACCGUGUGAUUUCAAAUCCUUUGCCCAUGUGUAUGGAGCAGUCUGUGUUUUGAAGAAUAGCUGGAAGAACUCCCCUGUCUCAAGGGCUCUCUUUUCUAAGAAACCUUUUUUGAUUUUUUUCCUUCCCUCUCAAGCAGUUGAGACAGCUCUGUCACAUAUUUUUAAAGUAUG